GCCACGUCACCUUGUCUCUCUCUCAGCCUGCCACGUCGACAUGUUUUUAUUCUUUCUCGCACCUGAGACCAUUAAUCGUAUAAGGCUUUCUUAAGACAACUGGCCCUUUCAAAAUUCUUACUUCAUGUGCAUAGAAGUCCACGUUUUGGCCCAAAUAUGAUGUAAACAGAAUCUUCUUCAGUCAACGCCGCUCAUCCUCCUCUCCAUCUUCCUCAUCCUCAUCGUAGUAACCCAACCGUUUCAACCUCCUUCGGUAAACCUUUGUAACAUGAGCAUCCCAUUUCUAAGAUACAUAAAGCCAUGCAACUGUUGCGACUCUCUCAGUCGCUCACCUUACAUAUACAUUUAUCCCGAUCGACAGUUGAAGUCUCACAUCACUCAAUUAUUAAACUACGUCUGUCUUGGCUUGGGGAGGCGGAGCUGCGCUUCAGGUUAAUCCAUUUUCGGAAGCAAGGAACACAGCCGAAUGAGUAUGAGGCAUUCUAAUUGGGUUAGAAUUGAUUCUGAUCGAUGAACAGGGUACUGUCAUACAUGGGUUCAUCUUACCUAACCGUUGUUUAGCUUUUGAUCAUCAAGUCUGAGCAUAUGCGUCAGUGAGAGUGAAUAUGGAUAGUGCCGUGAAGAGCCUCUAAAAGAAGAGACGGGUCCUCUGCAAAGAGAUAUUGUGAUCCCUUAAGCGUUUUACCCCGUAACUUAUUGUCCGACAGGUUGUUGCAGAUGGUACUCACUCUAUAGUUUGACACGCGAAAGUUAUAUGUGGAGUUGGGGUCAUCCGUGACUUCUCCAUGACAUGUAUAGAUUAAAAUUAAAUGUUCGAUUUUGUUUUACUCUUUACUGUAGAAAACAAAUAUUUGUUCCAGUGUCAAGGUCCUGAAAUUUUCUGUUGAAGCAUUUUGUAAUGUGGCUCUUGAAGAAGAUGGAGAGGCUCUUGGCACAACCCCUCAUCCUGUCCCAGUCCGAGGCCUCAAUGAUCUCACUUGGGUGGAUGGUUGAAGAAGAGGAGAACACGAAAGACUCGGGUAGACUCGGGUUAGGUGACAAUGACAAGAUCAGCAAAAUAGUUCCACAGAAAGUUAAUCUUAUCCCUGACGAAGAUAUCAUUCAGGUUGUAAAGCCUUAAACUUUAAUUAUCUUGAAUCUCUAAAAGAGGAUUUCAUUCAUUUAAAGAUGCACUAAACUUUAAUGAUCAAUAAUCUUUUUACAAAUA